GGAUCCAGACUUUGAUUAUGGCUCACGAUGAACGCUAGCUACAGGCUUAACACAUGCAAGUCGAGGGGAAACGACAUCGAAAGCUUGCUUUUGAUGGGCGUCGACCGGCGCACGGGUGAGUAACGCGUAUCCAACCUGCCCAUCACUUGGGGAUAACCUUGCGAAAGUAAGACUAAUACCCAAUGAUAUCCCACGAAGGCAUCCGAAUGGGAUUAAAGAUUUAUCGGUGAUGGAUGGGGAUGCGUCUGAUUAGCUUGUUGGCGGGGUAACGGCCCACCAAGGCGACGAUCAGUAGGGGUUCUGAGAGGAAGGUCCCCCACAUUGGAACUGAGACACGGUCCAAACUCCUACGGGAGGCAGCAGUGAGGAAUAUUGGUCAAUGGGCGAGAGCCUGAACCAGCCAAGUAGCGUGCAGGACGACGGCCCUAUGGGUUGUAAACUGCUUUUAUAAGGGAAUAAAGUGAGUCUCGUGAGACUUUUUGCAUGUACCUUAUGAAUAAGGACCGGCUAAUUCCGUGCCAGCAGCCGCGGUAAUACGGAAGGUCCGGGCGUUAUCCGGAUUUAUUGGGUUUAAAGGGAGCGUAGGCCGGAGAUUAAGCGUGUUGUGAAAUGUAGAGGCUCAACCUCUGCACUGCAGCGCGAACUGGUCUUCUUGAGUACGCACAACGUGGGCGGAAUUCGUGGUGUAGCGGUGAAAUGCUUAGAUAUCACGAAGAACUCCGAUUGCGAAGGCAGCUCACGGGAGCGCAACUGACGCUGAAGCUCGAAAGUGCGGGUAUCGAACAGGAUUAGAUACCCUGGUAGUCCGCACGGUAAACGAUGGAUGCCCGCUGUUGGCCUGAAUAGGUCAGCGGCCAAGCGAAAGCAUUAAGCAUCCCACCUGGGGAGUACGCCGGCAACGGUGCAACUCAAAUGAAUUGACGG
rnacentral:rRNA from 1 species